rnacentral:rRNA from 1 species
AUUGAACGCUGGCGGCAGGCCUAACACAUGCAAGUCGAGCGGAUGAAGGGAGCUUGCUCCUGGAUUCAGCGGCGGACGGGUGAGUAAUGCCUAGGAAUCUGCCUGGUAGUGGGGGAUAACGUCCGGAAACGGGCGCUAAUACCGCAUACGUCCUGAGGGAGAAAGUGGGGGAUCUUCGGACCUCACGCUAUCAGAUGAGCCUAGGUCGGAUUAGCUAGUUGGUGGGGUAAAGGCCUACCAAGGCGACGAUCCGUAACUGGUCUGAGAGGAUGAUCAGUCACACUAGAACUGAGACACGGUCCAGACUCCUACGGGAGGCAGCAGUGGGGAAUAUUGGACAAUGGGCGGAAGCCUGAUCCAGCCAUGCCGCGUGUGUGAAGAAGGUCUUCGGAUUGUAAAGCACUUUAAGUUGGGAGGAAGGGCAGUAAGUUAAUACCUUGCUGUUUUGACGUUACCAACAGAAUAAGCACCGGCUAACUUCGUG